AGUCGAGCGAACAGACGAGGAGCUUGCUCCUCUGACGUUAGCGGCGGACGGGUGAGUAACACGUGGAUAACCUACCUAUAAGACUGGGAUAACUUCGGGAAACCGGAGCUAAUACCGGAUAAUAUAUUGAACCGCAUGGUUCAAUAGUGAAAGACGGUUUUGCUGUCACUUAUAGAUGGAUCCGCGCCGCAUUGGCUAGUUGGUAAGGUAACGGCUUACCAAGGCAACGAUGCGUAGCCGACCUGAGAGGGUGAUCGGCCACACUGGAACUGAGACACGGUCCAGACUCCUACGGGAGGCAGCAGUAGGGAAUCUUCCGCAAUGGGCGAAAGCCUGACGGAGCAACGCCGCGUGAGUGAUGAAGGUCUUCGGAUCGUAAAACUCUGUUAUUAGGGAAGAACAAAUGUGUAAGUAACUAUGCACGUCUUGACGGUACCUAAUCAGAAAGCCACGGCUAACUACGUGCCAGCAGCCGCGGUAAUACGUAGGUGGCAAGCGUUAUCCGGAAUUAUUGGGCGUAAAGCGCGCGUAGGCGGUUUUUUAAGUCUGAUGUGAAAGCCCACGGCUCAACCGUGGAGGGUCAUUGGAAACUGGAAAACUUGAGUGCAGAAGAGGAAAGUGGAAUUCCAUGUGUAGCGGUGAAAUGCGCAGAGAUAUGGAGGAACACCAGUGGCGAAGGCGACUUUCUGGUCU
rnacentral:rRNA from 1 species